ACAUGAAUUACCAGGGAUUUCUGGUUAAAUGCAGAUUCUGAUUCAGUAGGAAGAGUGUGGAAUUAGGAGUUUACAUUUCUAUCAAGCACUUUGGUGAUGCAUAU
rnacentral:pre_miRNA from 1 species